AGUGAAGCGGUAACAGCUCAAAUUUGAAAUCUGCCCACCGGCCGAGUUGUAAUUUGUAGAAGAUGCUUCGGGUGUGGCUCCGGUCUAAGUUCCUUGGAACAGGACGUCAUAGAGGGUGAGAAUCCCGUAUGUGACUGGGUGCCUAUGCCUAUGUGAAGCUCUUUCGACGAGUCGAGUUGUUUGGGAAUGCAGCUCAAAAUGGGUGGUAUAUUUCAUCUAAAGCUAAAUAUUGGCUAGAGACCGAUAGCGCACAAGUAGAGUGAUCGAAAGAUGAAAAGCACUUUGGAAAGAGAGUUAAACAGUACGUGAAAUUGUUGAAAGGGAAGCGCUUGCAACCAGACUUGCACUCUGCUGAUCAUCCGGCGUUUUCACCGGUGCACUCAGUCUUGUUCAGGCCAGCAUCGGUCUUGGUGGUUGGAUAAAGGCCUUAGGAAUGUAGCUUCUCCGGGAGUGUUAUAGCCUAAGGUGCAAUGCAGCCUACCGGGACCGAGGACCGCGCUUCGGCUAGGAUGCUGGCGUAAUGGUUGUAAGCGACCCGUCUUGAAACACGGACCAAGGAGUCUAACAUCUAUGCGAGUAUUUGGGUGUCAAACCCAUCUGCGUAAUGAAAGUGAACGGAGGUGAGAGCUUCGGCGCAUCAUCGACCGAUCCUGAUGUCUUCGGAUGGAUUUGAGUAAGAGCAUAGCUGUUGGGACCCGAAAGAUGGUGAACUAUGCCUAAAUAGGGUGAAGCCAGAGGAAACUCUGGUGGAGGCUCGCAGCGGUUCUGACGUGCAAAUCGAUCGUCAAAUUUGGGUAUAGGGGCGAAAGACUAAUCGAACCAUUGUAAAAACACACUGCAGGAGCGGUGCUAGGUGGUUGAGAGAUCGCUGAGAGGUAAAUCUAGUCCUGAUCCAGGGCAACAUUGUCAAAUUGUACGGGGACGUCCUGCUAAGUUCUAGGCUACCGCAGCUGCACUGAAAGGUCGGCGAGCACCGGGUUAGUGACCUUGGGGAUGGUAAUAACGCCUAGAUAGGGAUAAUCCGCAGCCAAGUUCUAAGGGUUUAACGCCUAUGGAUGCUGUUCACAGACUAAAUGGCAGUGGGCUGCACCGCAGUCUAAGAUAUAGUCGAGCCGCCGGGAGACCGGUUAGGAGGCGGAAGGCUGAGAGAUCACA
rnacentral:rRNA from 1 species